GAGUCCUCCUUAGUACGAGAGGACCGGGAGGAACGAACCGCUGGUGUACCAGUUAUUCCGCCAGGAGUAGACGCUGGGUAGCCAAGUUCGGAGAGGAUAACCGCUGAAAGCAUCUAAGUGGGAAGCCCACCUUAAGAUGAGUGUUCUCACUACGAGAGUAGGUAAGGUCACGGGGAGAACACCCGUUAAUAGGCUUUAUGUGGAAGUACAGUAAUGUAUGUAGCAGAGAAGUCCUAACAGACCGAGGGCUUGACCUCAG
rnacentral:rRNA from 1 species